rnacentral:rRNA from 1 species
UAGGGAAUCUUCCACAAUGGACGCAAGUCUGAUGGAGCAACGCCGCGUGAGUGAAGAAGGGUUUAGGCUCGUAAAGCUCUGUUGUUAAAGAAGAACGUGGGUAAGAGUAACUGUUUACCCAGUGACGGUAUUUAACCAGAAAGCCACGGCUAACUACGUGCCAC